rnacentral:rRNA from 1 species
ACUCUAAAGGGACUGCCGGUGUUAAACCGGAGGAAGGUGGGGAGUGACGUCAAGUCCUCAUGGCCUUUAUGACCAGGGCGUACACACGUGCUACAAUGGCCGAUACAAAGGGCAGCGACACUGCGAGGUGAAGCCAAUCCCGUAAAAUACGGUCUCAGUCCGGAUUGGAGUCUGCAACUCGACUCCAUGAAGUUGGAAUCGCUAGUAAUCGUGGAUACAGCAUGCCACGGUGAAUACGUUCCCGGGCCUU